GCGGAGCGUGGUGCUGCACACCUGUAAUCCCAGCCACUGGGGCGGCUGAGACAGGAGAAUCUCAAGUUCAGAGACACCCUCAGCAAUGGCGAGGCGCUAAGCAACUCAGUGAGACCCUGUCUCUA
rnacentral:sRNA from 1 species